GCGAACGCUGGCGGCAGGCUUAACACAUGCAAGUCGAGCGGGCACUUCGGUGUCAGCGGCAGACGGGUGAGUAACACGUGGGAACGUACCCUUCGGUUCGGAAUAACGCUGGGAAACUAGCGCUAAUACCGGAUACGCCCUUUUGGGGAAAGGUUUACUGCCGAAGGAUCGGCCCGCGUCUGAUUAGCUAGUUGGUGGGGUAAUGGCCUACCAAGGCGACGAUCAGUAGCUGGUCUGAGAGGAUGAUCAGCCACACUGGGACUGAGACACGGCCCAGACUCCUACGGGAGGCAGCAGUGGGGAAUAUUGGACAAUGGGCGCAAGCCUGAGCCAGCCAUGCCGCGUGAGUGAUGAAGGCCUUAGGGUUGUAAAGCUCUUUUGUCCGGGACGAUAAUGACGGUACCGGAAGAAUAAGCCCCGGCUAACUUCGUG
rnacentral:rRNA from 1 species